ACUCCUACGGGAGGCAGCAGUGGGGAAUAUUGCACAAUGGGGGAAACCCUGAUGCAGCCAUGCCGCGUGUGUGAAGAAGGCCUUCGGGUUGUAAAGCACUUUCAGUAGGGAGGAAGGUAGUGUAGUUAACACCUGCAUUAUUUGACGUUACCUACAGAAGAAGCACCGGCUAACUCCGUGCCAGCAGCCGCGGGUAAUACGGAGGGUGCGAGCGUUAAAUCGGAAUUACUGGGCGUAAAGCGCAUGCAGGCGGCCUGUUAAGUCAGAUGUGAAAGCCCGGGGCUUAACCUCGGAAUUGCAUUUGAAACUGGCAGGCUAGAGUCUUAGUAGAAGGGGGUAGGAAUUUCAGGUGUA
rnacentral:rRNA from 1 species